rnacentral:rRNA from 1 species
AUGAUUGAUUUUCGUGAUGUGCUUGAAGUUUUUGGAUUGGGUGAUCUUGGUUUUGCAGGACGACCCUACACUUAUGAUAACAAAUGCGGAGGGUGGGCGAACGUCAAGGUCCGCCUCGACUGAGCCAUUGCAACUAAUUCCUGGAGGGAUAUUUUUGGCCAUGCGAAGGUUGAGCACUUGGUGGCUCCUAGCUCAGAUCAUUUGCCCAUCCCGCUCCGCUGCUCAAUCGAGGAGCCAGUGUUGGUUGCUGGAAGGAGAUGCCGCCAAUAUGAGGUCAUGUGGGAAAGGGACCCCUCUUUACCGGAGGUAAUUAUGAAUACAUGGACUGAAUUAGUGUCUAUGCUUAACCUUGGUGAUAUUGCUUCUGGUUUGGGAAAUUUGAUGAAACAGUUGGAGGAUCGGAGCCGGAUUUUUUUUGGUAAUGUCAUCAAGGAAAUUAAUAAAUCUCGCUCUCGUUUGGAGGAGCUUACGUCCAUGAACGCAGAUAGAAAAGAUAUCAGAGAGGCCACUGACAGAAUGAACGAACUCUUGUAUCGUGAGGAGAUGCUUUGGAUGCAGUGGUCGCGGAUUGCAUGGUUAAAGGAAGGGGACCGGAACACUCCGUUUUUCCAUAGGAAGGUUGUCUGGCGAGCCCGCAAAAAUCAGAUUAAAAUGCUACUGGAUGAUACGGGUGCUAUUCACAAGGAUCAUGACUCAAUGGCAGCCAUGGCCACAUCGUACUUCUCUGUGUUAUUUUUCGCUGAUAAUUCCUUGUGUGUGGAUCCAGUGAUUGAUUUAAUUAACACUCGUGUUACUGACCGUAUGAAUGAUGACUGUCGGCGUUCUGGGAACGGGGGUACCCAGACUUGCCUGCCUGCGGCCUGCGGCGUGGCUCAAGGAGUCGCCCAGUACGACCCAUCUUCAUCAACACAUGCUUAA